CUCCCGUGGGUGUGUCAUCUGUCGUGUCUCAACAUGGCAUGCUCGAGUUGAUAGACAGCUGCACUCGCACCUGAGCUGCCAAGGUGAGACACACGAGUGAAAAACACUCACCGCCGACCAUCUGUCCGUCCACCGACUUCUUCUCGGUCAUCAGGUAGUUUUCACAGCUGUUCUGUUGCCCGCACCGCUAGAAACUUUGCCUGGGAAUUUGUCGCCUGUAACAUUUCAGUCAUUGUUUCUGGUCGUGUGUGCAACGUGCAUCCAAGCCUGCAGAAAAAGUGGAUUUUUGGUUGUUUGUAAACAAACAGAAGUUUUCAGGUUGGGAUGCAUUGAUUGCCAAGUUUAUCUAAAUGGACUACUCCGAGCAUAUAUUUUCCUUGUUUGAAAAUCUAAGCUAGCGCUUUAGUGGUGACAUACAUAAGGGCACAGUGGGUAUGGUUGUGGUGUUGCCACAUGCAAACUGCUCGUGAGUAUGUGUGGUAUGUUGGUGAACCAGCUCAACUUAAUGAUGAUGAUGAUGAUGGGUGUAACCUUUUCCCUUUUCAGAGGCCUGAUUUUGUGACAAUGUCGUUAAUUAAAGAGCAGACUUAAGA